CACAUCUCUACUGCAUACCCAACAACCUACAUACCUAACAGAAGAUAGGGAUUCCAAACUACUAAAAUUCAAUAAAAGCAAUAGGCAUAAUGGCACAAAUUGAAUUACUAUAUAGCCAAAUCUGAUUAAGAUUCGGUCAGUCUGGAAUCAGCACUGGAAUCGCAGACUUAUUAACUGCUACAUGGCGGCUGAGGCUAAACGCAACGUAGCAUCUCCCCACCGGCCCAUGAAGGCACACAGCAGGACCAGGGCUCAGAUAGCACCGGCUCUGCAUGGGCCGACAGGGGAGAUCUGUGACCUCCCCUGGUGCCGGGCAGCACUGAUGAGGGACACGUUCAAGUAAGUAUUAGUGGUAGCGGACUGCUUUGAUAUCUGCUUUGGUUGCAC